rnacentral:lncRNA from 1 species
GUUGGUGACAAAACAUGGAAGCCUAGGCAAGAAAGAAGGUUCUAAAGGCCCCCUUGGGGUCCCAGGGCCUGGCCAGACUGAAGAGCCUUUUCUGACAUCCUCAUUUGUUCUGCGGUGUAAUAGCAUGGGAUCUUUCAGAGCUGUCGACAUCUGCUCCACUCUAGAGAGCUGCAGAACCGAGCCAGUAAAGCAAUAAUAAUUAUGCCCGAAUGGACUGCAAAGGAUGUAAGAGAUAAGAAGGGAGACAGGGAAAAAAAUGCAUUCAAUGCAGUGGUG